rnacentral:lncRNA from 1 species
CGCUUACAAGGACUAUUGUGUCAGCAGCUGGAGCAGGACUUUAAUCCCCCGGGCAAGUAGGCUUCACAAAACCCGCUUCUCCCUCCCCUCCAGCCCGCACCUUUGGCCUCCCCUGCUUGUGCGAAUCCGCUUCAAUAGGGGCGGUGUGCACCUGCGGGGAGGGGCCGGGCGUCGGCUCUCCACCGUUGAUCUCCGGACGCAGAGCAUUACAAAGACCCCGGGCUUUGGUUUUUGAAGAGCUGACAGGCCUGGCCCUCUCCGCCUGACCCCCGACCUGCAGGUGGGCCGAGCCAUUGUCGCCGGCAUGUAAAGCCCCACGCGGGGCUGUGCUGGGUGCUGGAAAGGGGGAUCCAUUUCAGUCGGCGCAAAGAACAACAAACAGAUGGGCCGGGUGGAGAGAGAAACCCAAGCCAGAGCAGAAGAGAUGGAAAGCCCAGGCUCUCCACCUGUGGGGAGCUACGGGAGACCACAAGGGAUGUACCAGCAAUGAUCUCCCUGACUACUUGACUUUCAUCGCUCUUUAUUUCUCUAUAUUUACAAAUCCUGCCUCUGAUACUUUCUACCUAUUUGCACUUGAACGCAUCUUCUCCGAGUACUGGCUACUUCAUCUUACAGUAUAAUUUUUGGUGAGAUGUGAUGGUCAGGGUAAACUAAAGCUAGUUGUCACUCUGGAUGUUUAUCCUUAAUAUACUUCUUUGUUGAAUUAAAAAAAAAAAGAUGGGAGGACUUCCGGUUAAGAUGGCGGCUCAGAGAAAGCUGAAGUUCAGAUCUCUGGAAAACCCUUCCCGACCGAUCUCAAACUAGAAGCUCCUAAGGCGCCGAAAUUCAAAACGAUCAACAGCACAGACCCUGGGAACCCUCCUCCUGGACCUGGACCCGGUUCAAAAGGUACGGCUCCCCUUAAAAGCCAGAACCCGAGAUCCCUCGGACCUCAGGGGUAGGAGCGCAGAGUCCAAGGCUCCCGGAAGCGGCAGCCGCGCCGGGCUCAGAGAGCAGGGUCUGAGGAACAACAACCCUCAGGGUCUUCUACCCAAGUCCCAGUCCGGGUGAAAGUUACUGCCUGGGGCUUCUGCUGCAAAGAGCCGGUCGGUCAAAGAGCCGGUUGGUCCGGGUGAAAGUUACUGCCUGGGGCCUCCGCUGCAAAGAGCUGGUUGGUCCGGGUGAAAGUUACUGCCUGGGGCCUCCGCUGCAAAGAGCCUGU